UACCGGAGUCAUGUCCGGCAACCUCUGCCUGAACACAUAGGGCAGCUGGAGGGAACGUGGGGAAGUGAAACAUCUCAGUACCCACAGGAAAAGAAACAACCGUGAUUCCGUAAGUAGUGGCGAGCGAACGCGGAACAGGCCAAACCGUAUGUGUGUGAUAGCUGACAGGCGUUGCACAUACGGGGUAGUGGGGCCGCUCCGGCCGGGCUGUUGACCGGUCAAGGAGUCAAAAAUGAUCAAUGAAGUAGAAACACUCUGGGAAGUUGUGGCACAGAAGGUGAAACCCCUGUACACGUAAGUUGAUCACUCCUGAGCGAUACCCCCAAGUAAUGCGGAACCCCUGAAAUUCCGCAUGAAUCUGGCGGGACCACCCGUUAAGCCUAAAUACUCCUUGGUGACCGAUAGCGG
rnacentral:rRNA from 1 species